AUUUUGUUACCAUUUGUAGAUAUUAAAGGCUGAUUUUUUCUACUCAUAAUAUUCUCUUAUAUAAAAAAAAGUCGAAUCUGGUAAGUAGAUUUUAUUUUAAAUUCAACAAGAAAUUAAAGUUCCUAUUCUUUUUUCAGCUUUCUAAUGUCUAUCUCUGAUUUCAUUAUUUGCUAAGUUUUCAGUAAAAAAUCAGUAUUUGGUCGUGUUUCUUUGAUAAAGAAGAUAGUUCUCUAUUGUGUUUGACCUAUAGAACAAACAAAAACACAAGUGAAAAACAAAAAACAAGUACGUGCCAUGAGUCAACCCGCUGAUAGUGUUCCUCCGCCUAAAGGUACCUCCCUUAGAUUCAAGCUGCUUUGGUUUUGAUAUCGAUCAGUUCGUUAUGCGUUUUUGGUUUAGAUUUGAGUUUGACAAACCCUUUUAGAAUUCUGAUCUAAGUAGUGUUGUUAGAUCCGUUUGCGUCCUAUCAAAGCCGUAUAAAAGUAGUGUAGUAGGAGACCAUAAACAGUUAUAGAUUGCUAUAAAUAAAAAAAAAGUUUUAAUAAUUUGAGAUCACGCCACCAAUAUAUAAUCACUCUUUAAAUUUUGUGGGUCAAUGCAAAUGUUCAUUUUGACUCCUAUUUUUUUUUUUCUUCUGGUUUGUUUUGAGUCCGUUUCAUAUUCUGGUUGAUCAUAUUAUCCGUCAGAUGAACACCCUAGCACUAAGGACGCUUCUCCUCCGCCUCCUGGAAAUCCUUCGGCACCACAACAUCCCAAUCCUCAGCAAGGUAAUCCGUCAGAUGGACACCCUAACCCUAAGGACGCUUCUCCCACGCCUCCAGAAAAUCCUCCGGCACAACAACAACCCUAUCCUCAACAAUGUUAUCCACCACCGCAGGGAUAUCCUCAGCAAGGCUAUCCACCUCCGUAUGCACCGCAAUACCCACAGCCUCAGGAACAUCAGAAGCAGAGUAGUAACCCUGGUUUGAUUGAAGGAUGUCUGGCUGCUAUGUGCUGUUGUUGUGUCUUGGGGGCUUUUUUCUGAGUGGAGUCUCUGCAUGAAGCUGUGAAAUUGGAUUGUUUGUUGUUUUAUUUUUAUUGAUCUCAUCUUAUUCUUCUAUGUUGUUUUAUAUAUGUUUAUCAUCUGAGUCAUAAGUUAUUAGUGGUUGUGGACUUUCUUCUGGGUUUACUUAUUUUAUUUGCCAAUGGGGAUGGAAAUUCAUCCAGUGCCGGUUUAGAUGGAGAACAAGCGGUACGACCACCACAUACAUGUCUGAUCUCGUGUCCCUCCAUUUAUAUUAUAGGUAUUUUUGCUAAAAAAUAAAAUAAAAAGCUCUUAAAAAUAUUUUAUAUAAACAUAUUUUCAACAUAAAUUUUAUAAAAAGUUACUUAUAAUAUUUUUAAUAAAAAAAAAAUUAUUGAAAAAUUUAUAAAAAUAUUAAAUUUAAGGAUUCAAAGCUCAAUGGCUCAUAAAAUUAUUUAUCCGGCGCUGAAUUCAUCAUACACAAAAUGAUGUUGCACUGUAUUGGCAACUGCUUCUUCAUGGCUUUCAUCUCUUGUUUCAUAGAUUCGCACUUUUUAUUAUCAUAUUAAAAAAAUAUUCAUUAUGCAACAAAUUUUACAAAUAAACGUGUAAGUUUUUGUUUUGUAUGCAGAUGUACAAGUACAAGAUAACACCGGACUAAUUCGAAAUCUGAAAACAACUAUUGAGAUUUUUUUUUUUUUUGAGAAUUUAUUAAUUAAUCAAAACUUUAUGUAUUAAUUAAUGAUUUUUAUUAAGCUUUAUAAUAUAUUAACAAAACAAAAACAUUUUAAUAUUGAAAAACUCAAUGUCUUUAGUUCAGACUGGUAAAAUAAACGACGGUCAGUUUUUUUGCACGGACCUAGUGUUAUUAAAUAAAUAGUAAAGUAGCGGACUGAAUUUCUAUUGAAAUAAUACCGUAGUCAUGGAAGUUGGGUUUACAAGAGAAGAAGUCUACACAAGAACAUACGUUUUUAUUAUACAUCAGAGCUCUAAACAACAGCCAGAUCAAAAUAAAACUGUAUUGCCUAUUGGCAUCUAUGAGGCUCAAAACCUAUAUACUAGAAAUAUAGAAAUAUAGAUCAUGACCUUAUUGAUGUGUAUAGUCCAACGAGCGACUCA